AUAGCCCUAAACCAUCAGGACUUGGGGUUUGCCCUGUACGGGGCAAGUCCCGUAGCUAACGCGUUAAGUCCUGCGCCUGGGGAGUACGGUCGCAAGACUGAAACUCAAAGGAAUUGACGGGGGCCCGCACAAGCGGUGGAACAUGUGGUUCAAUUCGACGCAACGCGAAGAACCUUACCUGGGCUUGAACCGCACAGGACCAUCUUUGGAAACAGAGACUUCCCGCAAGGGACCUGUGUAGAGGUGCUGCAUGGCUGUCGUCAGCUCGUGCCGUGAGGUGUUGGGUUAAGUCCCGCAACGAGCGCAACCCUUACUCUUAGUUGCCACCCGCAAGGGGGAACUCUAAGAGGACUGCUCCGGAUAACGGAGAGGAAGGUGGGGAUGAGGUCAAGUCAGCAUGGCCUUUAUGUCCAGGGCUACACACGUGUUACAAUGCGCGCCACAAAGCGUUGCAAACCCGCGAGGGGGAGCUAAUCGCAAAAAAGCGCGCUCAGUUCGGAUUGCAGUCUGCAACUCGACUGCAUGAAGCCGGAAUCGCUAGUAAUGGCGCAUCAGAACGGCGCCGUGAAUACGUUCCCGGGCCUUGCACUCACCGCCCGUCGGACCAGUACGA
rnacentral:rRNA from 1 species